CAAUGUCACGUAGUAACAUUGAUGGAAUUGUCUCCUCCAUAUUCGCCCCUUACGUCGUACCUCGUGUCUAUCCUGUUUUUCGCGCGUUUCACCUGGCUGUCGUACUGUUGAACGAGGAAAGCAGAAGAGUGCUUUGAAGGAUACAAACUUUGAAGAAAAAAAAAGAAGACUUCGUGACGGAAGGUCUCGCCGAACGUUGUCGUCGAUACGACAAAACGACGCGGUACAGCGGGCGUGGGUUCCCUUGAUUAUCGUCGGUUCCUCUUCUUCUUUAUGUAUCUCAGAACGUAAUCUCGAGAACGCAGAACGAAAGGAAAAAUGGAGCUGGAAGAGAGAGAGGCGAAGGUGUGCAGGCUAUGUGGCCAAUUUGAAAGGCUCUACAUCGAUGUGUUCGGCGAGGAGGGCAUGAGACGCUACCUGAGCGUCAAAAUCCACUCGAAGAUCAACAUAAUGAUAGAUGAAAUGGAUCCUCUGCCCAAGGCGAUCUGUGUUCAGUGUCUGGGCAAGCUUGAAUUCGUCUGCGACUUUCAAGAGGAAUGUCUACGCACCCAACAUGAGUUACGCGAUCGAUACAAUCUACCGCCCUUAACAGAGUUUACGCAGAUAAAAAACGAAGACACACCACCGACCAGAUCGACGGAUAAUAACAACAGUAUUGAAAAGAAUCUUAAUUCUACUAGCGGCGAGGACUCCGAGCAGCAGCAGCAGCAGCAGCAACAGCAGCAGCAGCAGCAACAGCAACAACAACAGCAACAACAGAGAGUCCUCAGGAGAAGUCUCCGUAGCCAACAACAAGCUGUUAAAUCUAACGACGAAAUUAGCGUGGAAGAGAAUUCGCAAAGUAGUCAGAGUAUACAAAGCACAGAAUUGACGCCGACUCGUUGGUUAAGACGUCGGCACAACGUGGACUCCACGACGUCGUCCGUGGGCAACAACAACGAGCAAGACGAAGACGUGAUCCCAAUCGCGAACAGAUUGAGGAGUCACAAUAACGCGGAUAACAGUAACCAGGCUAAUGCUUCUUCUUUGAGUGUCAGUAAUAGCGAUAACGAGAGCGCUACGGAGAAGCAUUUGUCACAGGACCCAUUGGUUGUGGGGUCGACGAUACAAUUACCAACUUCGGCGUUGAACAAAUUGUUAACUCUCGUCUCCGGUUCUCCCGACAUCGAGGUGUCGGUGAAUGAGCCGCGGAAUCGCGGCGGCGGCGGCGGCGGCGGCGGCGGCGGCGGUGGCGGCGGUGGCGGCGGCGGCGACGAUGGAGACGGCGUCGGUGGUAACAGCAGUAACAGUAACGGCAGCAACAACGAUGCUGAGGAUAUCAGUUUUACCGUGGAACUUUGUAGGAAAUCAACUGAAGACGACGCAUUACCGGAGUUGAGAGUGCGCGCACGGGUGUUCCCCGAUCAGGGUUCCUGCAUGGUCGACGCCACGAUCGUGGACUUGCUGCAGAAUUCUCAGAGCACCACCGUGGAAGUGAACGGUAUCGUCAACAGUAUCCUCAGCAGCACCGGGAAGAACAAUGGUAUCACGGCGUCGAAACUGAAGGACUUGGCGAAGCUGGAACAAAUGACAGAAGCCAUGCAAAAACCCGAGGACCUUUUUCGUGUGGAUGGUGAGGAGAUCAAAGUGGACGAUAAUGUGGAGCACGUGACGAACGACGGUCAGAACGGCUACGCGUGCAAGCUCUGUCAGAAGUUCUACGAGCGCCGGGACAAGUGCACGGUGCACGUGAAGACACAUCUCGGUAUCAAGCAGUACACAUGCGUCGUGUGUAACGCCAAAUUCGUCUGUAAAUCAGACGUGAUGAAGCAUAUCCGUUGCUCGCACACCAAUCCACGGCCCAUACAGUGUCCCAAGUGUCCGAAACGCUUCAAGUCCAAGUUUUACCUGACUGAGCACGAUAACGUUCACAAGGGCGUGCGACCGUACAGCUGCGCCGACUGCGGGCAGAGCUACCAUCACAAGGUUUCGUUGCAAAUUCACAUGAAGUCGCAUCAGCCGUCGCAGAACCUCGCCUGCGAGUACUGCGGCAAGGUGUUUCCAUAUCGCACGCGACUCCUCAGUCACAUCGCCAGUGUGCACCUGAAGAAACGCCGUAACUUCCGCUGCCGCUUCUGCUACAAUCUGUACUCCAGUCUGUCUGUGUUGAACGAACACAUCAAGACGCGCCAUGCUACCACGCACACUUGCGGCAUCUGCGGCAAGACUUUCAAAGUCGUGUCCAAGUUCAAGGCGCACGUAAUGCAGCACUCGAAUCCAAAGCCGUUUGUUUGUAGCAUCUGCAACAAUCGUUACGCAUCUAAAGCCUUCCUUAAUGAGCACCUGCUCAAGCACGAGGGCCUGCGCAAGCACAAGUGUAAAACAUGCAACGCCACUUUCGCACAGGCGAGUCACCUGGCCGCACAUCGCCACGUGCACGGCGAGAAGACGCACGCUUGCCCGGAGUGCGGGCGUAAAUUCAAUCGUCGCGAUAACAUGAAAGUGCACCGGAAGCGACAUUUCGAACAAAAGAAGAGUGGCGGCAAGCAAAAGACUACUGCGUCCAGCGGUAAUGAUUCGGUGGCUGCGCCGACCGCGACUAACGAAAAAUAGUGCGGGCGGACAGUGAAAAUAAAAUUAUCAUUACCAAUGGCGAAAUACUGGAGAUUUAGGCAUAAGAAUUAUGUAGAUUUUGUAUAACAAGAGACUUAAAACUGUAGAUCGCGAGAGGUCAACGGUAACGCGCGUUCGACCGAGGAGUCCUGAGGCUCGAGUUUAGAAAUGCGAUACAGGACCAACGUAGCGAAUACGAUUACGUGCAGAAAGAAACAUACAGCGUAUUUCAGCCGAGGAAAUACCUUUGCGCUUUUCCACGUCAACCGG
rnacentral:misc_RNA from 1 species